UACCACAUAGUAGGACAGGUCUACAUUGGUCUUGGGCCUGUGGGUCCCAUAACUCGGAAGCUAUUGAGCAAAAAGCUGUUUUCCAUAGAAAAAGAAUGGCCGAAUAUCUGUUGAAUAUCUGUCUCGGUCUGUUGAAAAGGAGACAAUGCAAUGUGAAUGUGAAAAGGAACCGCACCAAACCAAAAACUAAACGUUGCGUUUGGUCCGGACCAUAAGGAUCGAACUAAGGACUUUCCUGGUGUGAAUAGGCCUUAAAUGAGCCUCCAUGAGUCCGGUCUCAUGGCAGCGUCUGGCUGCAGCAGAGAUGGAGCUGGAGGAGGAGAGAAAAGAGCAGGAAGAGAAAGGAAAGGAUACAUUCUUAACAACCUGGAGACCGUUGCUCUGAGAAACCAGAGUGAGAUGGGGGGACAGCUCCGCCUCCGGGAGGAGACCCUGGCCCUGCCGGGGCAGCUCGUCUCUCCGCGGGGUCUGGGGCCUGGGGCGGGGUGUGUCGGCGGGGGCUGACGGCCCCAAGCUGAAGCAGGCGGUGGGUGACAUCGCCAGCCUGACCCGGGUCAAGCAGCAGCCCAUCGCCAUGGGUACGGGCUCCGGGCCCAGCUCCAAACAUCUGGACCAGAGGGGACAGAGGGGCCAGGCUCGGCCAGAGCAAAGGAGUCCCAAGCUGGGGAGAGAGAGAGGGGGGAGCCGGCCCUCCGCCCGUCCACCCUGGAGGAGCUGGAGAAGAGGAAGUCCUGUCCAGGGCGCAGUUUGCUUAGGUUGAGUAGCAUGGACAUCCCUCCGGAACUGUGCGGCGGUGGUGACACCGGAUCGCAGCCGCCCUCCAGCUCCUCCUGCCCCCUGCUGUCGUCAGUAGCGACAGAGGGAUCUCUGAAGGAGAUGUGGCAGAUGCUGGACCGGGACCUCAGCCCCUCUCUUCUAUAUAUAUAUAUAUCUAUCUAUCUAUAUAUAUAUAUACACUGUAGGCCUAUAUAUAUUUAUCUGGAUAGAGAUAUAUUACCGGAGUAUAUUUCUAGUAGUUCUGUAUUUGUGUAUUUAUCUGAUUUGUUUCA